rnacentral:rRNA from 1 species
AUGUUGAAGAAGCAGUUAGGACUAGCACCUUAUCAAGUACUUGGAGGGAUGCAUGGGCUAAUUAAUAUGCCAGAAAUAUCUCUGCGUGAUGGAAAUUUUGCACGGACCAAGUUCGUUACGUUGGUCGAUAUGGUGCUAGCACUCCACAAGGGAACAAUAGAGGAGUUUGAUAUUUCAGGUAACAAAAAUUACCAUGAUGAGUUUGGUAGGUGGAUGAUCAUGCUGUCAAGGAGAUCACCAAAAUCAGUUAUAAUCAAGUUGAACUCAGGGCUAAGGUAUAAGAUUCCCUCGUGCCUCUUUUCUAUCGAUGAUCUGGAGUCUCUGCACCUAAAAAACUGCAUCAUCAGCUUGCCCCGGGCAUUCCAAGGUUUCAAGAGCCUAACUGACCUCAGCCUGAACAUUUUCUCCUCCACAGACCGGGACAUCCAAAAUCUGAUCUCGUUCUGCCCCAUACUGACUAAUUUGUCAUUAACUUCUUUUGAGGGCAUCCACUGUCUAAACAUUCAAUCUCCUAAACUGAAAUAUCUUUAUAUUGAUGGGGACUUUGAAGACAUUAGUUUGGAUGCCCCUAAUAUGGAGGUGACCCUUCUCUCUCUUGAUCCCAAAGCUAAAUCAUAUCAAUCUGUUCCGGUUGUGCAUGACAAGGAAAGCUAUGUCAAACAGUCAUUGGGAAGCCUAAGUGAAAUAAAAAAACUUGGAAUUUUUGGCACUUUCAUGAAGUAUCUAUCAAAGGGGUGUAUACUUACGAAGCUCCCUGCCGUGUUUACUCGCCUGGAGGAUAUUUAUCUUACGAUAUGCUUUUGCGACCAGAGGCAAGUCUUCACCACGUGUUCAUUGUUACAGAAUGCCCCUAACUUGAAGAAGCUUCACAUGUGGGCACGCAUGCCUCCAAGUGGCUCUUCAAGCACAUGGGAUCAGGAUCAGGCCAGCAUUCAAGAACUUACCCUGCAAAUGCAAAUGGACCAUCUCAUAAUUGCCAGUAUGAAAUGUUUCCAGGGUUUGGACUACGAGGUCAAUUUUGUGGCAAAGCUAUUGAGCUGCACACCUGCUUUGGAAGAAGUGAAAAUAGAGUGGAUGGGCGAAAUGGAUCGCAGCAUGGUUCUUACCAAGCUAUUAGCUCUGCCAAGGGUGUCUCCCAGGGCCAAGAUCAUUGUUACAUGA